AGCAGCCGCGGUAAUUCCAGCUCCAAUAGCGUAUAUUAAAGUUGCUGCAGUUAAAAAGCUCGUAGUUGAAUUUCGGGGUCAAUAUGUUGGUCGUGCCUUGGUACGUACUAGCUUAUUGAUUUCUCCUUUCUGACGAACCAUGAUGUCAUUAAUUUGGUGUCAUGGGGAAUCAGGACUGUUACUUUGAAAAAUUAGAGUGUUUAAAGCAGGCUCGCGCUUGAAUACAUUAGCAUGGAAUAAUGAAAUAGGACAUUUGAUUCUAUUUUGUGGUUUCUAGGAUCGAUGUAAUGAUUAAUAGGGAUAGUUGGGGCAUUAGUAUUCAAUUGUCAGAGGUGAAA
rnacentral:rRNA from 1 species